GACGUAGGGCGCGAGCGUUGUCCGGAUUUAUUGGGCGUAAAGAGCUCGUAGGCGGCUCGUUGCGUCGGCUGUGAAAACCCGCAGCUCAACUGUGGGCUUGCAGCCGAUACGGGCGGGCUGGAGUUCGGUAGGGGAGACUGGAAUUCCUGGUGUAGCGGUGAAAUGCGCAGAUAUCAGGAGGAACACCGGUGGCGAAGGCGGGUCUCUGGGCCGAUACUGACGCUGAGGAGCGAAAGCGUGGGGAGCGAUCAGG
rnacentral:rRNA from 1 species